rnacentral:rRNA from 1 species
UUGAACGCUGGCGGCAUGCUUUACACAUGCAAGUCGAACGGCAGCGGGGGCUUCGGCCUGCCGGCGAGUGGCGAACGGGUGAGUAAUGCAUCGGAACGUACCCAGUCGUGGGGGAUAACUACGCGAAAGCGUAGCUAAUACCGCAUACGCCCUGAGGGGGAAAGCGGGGGACCUUCGGGCCUCGCGCGAUUGGAGCGGCUGAUGUCGGAUUAGCUAGUUGGUGGGGUAAAGGCCUACCAAGGCGACGAUCCGUAGCUGGUCUGAGAGGAUGAUCAGCCACACUGGGACUGAGACACGGCCCAGACUCCUACGGGAGGCAGCAGUGGGGAAUUUUGGACAAUGGGCGCAAGCCUGAUCCAGCCAUGCCGCGUGAGUGAAGAAGGCCUUCGGGUUGUAAAGCUCUUUCAGACGGAAAGAAAUCGGGCGCGUGAAUAGCGUGCCUGGAUGACGGUACUGUCAGAAGAAGCACCGGCUAACUACGU